CUUAUACUCCCUCCGUCUGAAAAUACUUAUCAUACGAAUGGAUGUAUCUAGACAUAUUUAAAUUCUAGAUACAUCCAUUUUUAUUAAUUUGUGCGAUAAAUAAUUUUAAAUGGAGAAAGUAUUUA
rfam:Hordeum vulgare subsp. vulgare, WGS project CAJW01000000 data, contig: morex_contig_59489